rnacentral:rRNA from 1 species
GAUGAACGCUGGCGGCGUGCUUAACACAUGCAAGUCGAACGAGAAGUGAAGACGGAAACCUUCGGGCGGAAGGCUUUAUUUCGAGUGGCGGACGGGUGAGUAACGCGUGGGUAACCUGCCUCAUACAGGGGGAUAACAGUUGGAAACGACUGUUAAUACCGCAUAAGGCCACAGCACCGCAUGGUGCGGGGGUAAAAACUCCGGUGGUAUGAGAUGGACCCGCGUUCGAUUAGCCAGUUGGCGGGGUAACGGCCCACCAAAGCGACGAUCGAUAGCCGAUCUGAGAGGAUGACCGGCCACAUUGGGACUGAGACACGGCCCAAACUCCUACGGGAAGCAGCAGUGGGGAAUAUUGCACAAUGGGGGAAACCCUGAUGCAGCGACGCAGCGUGAGUGAAGAAGUAUUUCGGUAUGUAAAGCUCUAUCAGCAGGGAAGAAAAUGACGGUACCUGAGUAAGAAGCCCCGGCUAACUACGUG